rnacentral:lncRNA from 1 species
UACUGAGAUCCCAGCCUGGCAGAGCAGGCUGAUGGAGCAGUGAGGGCACCAGCGAUAAUGUUCUCUGAUUCUCUACUGCACUCAGGACCUGCAGAGACACACUCAGCCUCUCCACUUCAGCUCCACUGGCUCCCAUGGUGCACUUUGGCUCUACCAGGCAUGCUCUUGCCUUAAGACAUUUGUGCUCACUGUCCUCUCUACCUGGAUCCCUCUUACCCUAGAGAGCUUUCUGACAGAUUUCACUCUCUCAUUUUUUCACAUCUUUGCUCUAAAGUAACUUCAUCUUCAUGAACUUUUCCCUGACCACCCUACUAUAAAUUGCAACCCUCCCCACUCUUCAUGCUAAUAUAGUCUUACUAUAGUGGGCGUUGCCGUCUACCUUCCUACAUAACUUACUAAUGAGAAGGUAAGUGUCACUGGGGCAGAGAUUUGCUUUAUAUGUGCUCUGGUGUGUCCAAGUGGUGGCACCUAGUGGGCACUCAUUGUGGCCUUUGUCUUUCUUCACUCCACAGGACACCAUUGGCACUGCAUUCCCCAUUGAAUGAUGCCCGCUGGAACACAGCUUUAUAGACUUCAAUGCGAAUAGUGCCCCCUAGAAUUGUGCAAUUUGGCAGUACAGAGCCUAAUAUUUGUUGAAAAGAGGCCACAGGCGAUCCACUCUCUCUGCUCAUCUUCCUGAUCCAGUGGCCUCUGAAAUCCUUCUGGCGACUUCUAAUUGUAAACCUUCUCAUACUUGAAACCUUCCCUGUGUCAGGGUGAGGAAGCUGGUAUGAAGAGUGGGCUGAUUCCGUUUGUUUGCAGUUUAUUAUCAAACUUGGACAUCUUAUUUCAGAGAGAUAUAAGAAAGGCACUUGAUAAGCUGUCUGCAGCAGUUUCUCCUGAGGGGUCUGCCAAAAACGGCGUGGGAUCUCAGGGUCUGGUUUUCUUUGCCUUCUCCAGGUCUGUUACAUUUCCCAGAAUGGUUCCCAGUGCUGGAGAUAAUUCCUUUUCGGAGAACCUACAUUUCUCACCUGCUGAUUGCAAUUAGCCACUACCAGCUGGGGCCUGGUGUGCAGCUGAAAAGCUAACAAGAAGUGGAGACCACGCGGAACCCAGACAGGGCAUAGGAUGUGCAUAAAUAAGCAACGGUGCCUGUGUUUAUGAGAUGCUCCUGUGAAUUCAAGGCUUCCCCGCCCUCUGCAUAACUCUCCCUCUUCCGGCUUUGUGCUGCAUACCCCUCCUCUAACUAUAUUUUUUGUCUCUGGUUUUGUAGCCUACACUUAACAUCACAGUCACGAAUUUACCACUAAGUACAUUUUGUUAGGCAAUAAACAGCCUUGGAAGAAAAAUGAAAUCCGACUAGGACUUCUGUUCUAAUAAUGUUUGUGAGCUGUGGUGGAUUCAGGCAGGCCCCACAUGCAAAUCUUAGAGCUAACCUUGG